rnacentral:rRNA from 1 species
GACGAACGCUGGCGGCGUGCUUAACACAUGCAAGUCGAACGGUGAAGCGCCUUCCUUUUUGGUGGGUGUGGAUGAGUGGCGAACGGGUGAGUAACACGUGAGUAACCUGCCCCCUUCUUCUGGAUAACCGCAUGAAAGUGUGGCUAAUACGGGAUAUUCUGGGUCUGUCGCAUGAUGGGUCUGGGAAAGAUAUUGUUUCGGUGGGGGAUGGGCUCGCGGCCUAUCAGCUUGUUGGUGGGGUGAUGGCCUACCAAGGCGGUGACGGGUAGCCGGCCUGAGAGGGUGGACGGUCACACUGGGACUGAGACACGGCCAAGACUCGUACGGGAGGCAGCAGGGGGGAAUAUUGCACAAUGGGCGCAAGCCUGAUGCAGCGCCGCCGCGUGAGGGAUGGAGGCCUUCGGGUUGUGAACCGCUUUCGCCAGUGAAGCAGGCCUGCCUCGUUUGUGGGUGGGUUGACGGUAGCUGGAGAAGAAGCGCCGGCUAACUACGUG